GAUGAACGCUGGCGGCGUGCCUAAUACAUGCAAGUCGAGCGAACGGACGAGAAGCUUGCUUCUCUGAUGUUAGCGGCGGACGUGUGAGUAACACGUGUAUAACCUACCUAUAAGACUGGGAUAACUUCGGGAAACCGUAGCUAAUACCGGAUAAUAUUUUGAACCGCAUGGUUCAAAAGUGAAAGACGGUCUUGCUGUCACUUAUAGAUGGAUCCGCGCUGCAUUAGAUAGUUGUUAAGGUAACGGCUUACCAAGGCUACGAUGCAUAGCCGACCUGAGAGGGUGAUAGGCCACACUGGAACUGAGACACGGUCCAGACUCCUAAGGGAGGCAGCAGUAGGGAAUCGUCCGCAAUGGGCGAAAGUCUGACGGAGCAGCGCCGCGUGAGUGGUGAAGGUGUUCGGAUCGUAAAACUGUGUUAUUAGGGAAGAACAUAUGUGUAAGUAACUGUGCACAGCUUGACGGUACCUAAUCAGAAAGCAACGGCUAACUACGUG
rnacentral:rRNA from 1 species